GGGGUCGUGGCUCAGUGGUAGAGUGCUUGCUUGCCUAGCAUGUGUGAGACACUGGGUUCAAUCUCCAGCACCACA
rnacentral:tRNA from 1 species